rnacentral:tRNA from 1 species
GCGGGAAUGGUGGAAUUGGCAGACACACCUGAUUUAGGCUCAGGUCUUUGGGGGUUCGAAUCCCUCUUCCCGUA